rnacentral:rRNA from 1 species
UACGUAGGGUGCAAGCGUUGUCCGGAAUUAUUGGGCGUAAAGAGCUCGUAGGCGGUUUGUCGCGUCUGCUGUGAAAACCCGAGGCUCAACCUCGGGCCUGCAGUGGGUACGGGCAGACUAGAGUGCGGUAGGGGAGAUUGGAAUUCCUGGUGUAGCGGUGAAAUGCGCAGAUAUCAGGAGGAACACCGGUGGCGAAGGCGGGUCUCUGGGCCGAUAUUGACGCUGAGGAGCGAAAGCGUGGGGAGCGAACAGG